rnacentral:rRNA from 1 species
AAUGAAUAGUGAAAGCUAAUUGUACUAUGUGGUNCAAUAUCGAUUUAAUCGAAUAAAAUUCUGGGUAGAAUUAUGAUGAUGACAUUGUCUACCUAUAUUUCUUGACCAAAUUACGUGCCAGCAGUCGCGGUAAUACGUAGAAGAUCAGUGUUAUUCAUCUUUAAUGGGUUUAAAGGGUACUUAGACGNCAAGCCAAGCCUUUCCAAGGCACUAGUUUGCUAGAGUUACUUGUGAGGGGGCACGAAAGUACUGCUGGNGUAGAGAUGGUAAGCACUCCACCUCAAGAGUAAUUUGGCNNCNUUGGAACUGAAAUCAUUAGACCGUUUCUGAAACCAGUAGUGAAGUAUGUUGUUCAAUUAGAAAGCACGCAAAAAACCUUACCACAAUUUGAAUAUUUAUAUUUAGUACUUAAGUAAAUCAGACGAAUAUAUUUACAAGCGUUGCACGGCUGUCUUCAGUUAAUGUCGCGAGACUUUGGUUAGUUCCAUUAAAUUAACGUAAACCCUUACUUUAUUUUUACAUAAAGUAGUUCCCCACUACAGUGGUUAUGAUAAUAGGGAUCAAGGCAAGUCAUCAUGACCUUUAUAUUGU